rnacentral:rRNA from 1 species
AUUGAACGCUGGCGGCAUGCCUUACACAUGCAAGUCGAACGGCAGCACGGGUGCUUGCACCUGUUGGCGAGUGGCGAACGGGUGAGUAAUACAUCGGCACAUGUCCUUUAGUGGGGGAUAGCCCGGCGAAAGCCGGAUUAAUACCGCAUACGAUCCACGGCUGAAAGCGGGGGCCCUUCGGGCCUCGCGCUAUAGGGUUUGCCGAGGGCUGAUUAGCUAGUUGGUGGGGUAAAGGCCUACCAAGGCGACGAUCAGUAGCUGGUCUGAGAGGACGACCAGCCACACUGGGACUGAGACACGGCCCAGACUCCUACGGGAGGCAGCAGUGGGGAAUAUUGGACAAUGGGCGAAAGCCUGAUCCAGCAAUGCCGCGUGUGUGAAGAAGGCCUUCGGGUUGUAAAGCACUUUUGUCCGGAAAGAAAACCUGGGGUCUAAUACAGUCGGGGGAUGACGGUACCGGAAGAAUAAGCACCGGCUAACUACGUG